AACGGCUACCACAUCCAAGGAAGGCAGCAGGCGCGCAAAUUACCCAAUCCUGAUACAGGGAGGUAGUGACAAUAAAUACUGAUACAGGGCUCUUUUGGGUCUUGUAAUUGGAAUGAGUACAAUUUAAAUCCCUUAACGAGGAACAAUUGGAGGGCAAGUCUGGUGCCAGCAGCCGCGGURAUUCCAGCUCCAAUAGCGUAUAUUAAAGUUGUUGCAGUUAAAAAGCUCGUAGUUGAACCUUGGGCCUGGUUGGCCGGUCCGCCUCACCGCGUGCACUGGUCCGACCGGGCCUUUCCUCCUGGGGAGCCGCAUGCCCUUCACUGGGUGUGUCGGGGAACCAGGACUUUUACUUUGAAAAAAUUAGAGUGUUCAAAGCAGGCCUAUGCUCGAAUACAUUAGCAUGGAAUAAUAGAAUAGGACGUGUGGUUCUAUUUUGUUGGUUUCUAGGACCGCCGUAAUGAUUAAUAGGGAUAGUCGGGGGCAUCAGUAUUCAAUUGUCAGAGGUGAAAUUCUUGGAUUUAUUGAAGACUAACUACUGCGAAAGCAUUUGCCAAGGAUGUUUUCAUUAAUCAGUGAACGAAAGUUAGGGGAUCGAAGACGAUCAGAUACCGUCGUAGUCUUAACCAUAAACUAUGCCGACUAGGGAUCGGGCGAUGUUAUCUUUUUGACUCGCUCGGCACCUUACGAGAAAUCAAAGUCUUUGGGUUC
rnacentral:rRNA from 1 species